rnacentral:lncRNA from 1 species
GCGCCACAUGUGAUGUGCAGUUGAAGACUAUCUUCGACUGGUACCAGAGUUAAAAUAUCUAAAAUAUCAAGCAUGUUAUGGGUUAAAAUGCUUAACCCGUUCUUUCCGCAUAAAAAUUCUCUGAAAUUCAUGCUUAGCCCUCUGCACGCAUACUAUCAGUGGUAUCAGAGCUCAUCCAUGUUCUUUGUAAUAUCAAAUAUCUAUGCAAAAUGUGAUCUUUUACAUAUGAUGUAAACUGAUUAUAUUAUUUUAUGAUGUUAUUCAUAUGAUGAAUAGACAUGUUUGUAUGCAUGUAACUUGAACAUUAAAAUGGGUUUUAAUGAUUCAAAGUUGUAAUGCAUGCAAAACCAAGAUAAGACAUGAAUAAUGCAAUACACUUAAUUGUGAAUUAAGUAUUGAUGUAGAUCUUAGAUUUUAAAUGUGAUCUAAACAUCUAAGACAUUGCAUAAAUCAUGGGGAUAAUGGGUUAUCUAAUCAAAUCUGGUUGGGUUAGACCCAAUGGUCAAAAUCAAAAUAUGGAACAAUAACUGGUCAAAUCUAAUUUAAAAUGUUUACUUUGGAUUCGAUCAAGGUAACUCUUGAUCUUUGCAAUAGUUGUAGUUGAUCAAGUCCAUGUCUCUUGAUAAGACCAAAUGGAUGUUGAUUUGGGCUCCGCGGUUGAGCACUAAGUUUUGAUAUUGAUCGAAUUGAAAUUGAUGAACCAGUUGGUGUCUAAGGCAACUGUUAUCAGUAGGUUUAUAAUUGAG